rnacentral:misc_RNA from 1 species
CGUUUCAGUGGUACGCUAGCUCAAGAAAAAGAGAAAUUAGAGGCAGCCAACAAGCGCGUCAAAACCACGCGGCCUUGCUCGCGACUGUCGAAAUCCUAAUCACGUGAGAAACUCUGCCGAGUGACAGCUGCCGCGCGGUCUGAACGAAGCGAGAAUAAGAAAUGAAAGCAGCCACGAAAGAAACAAAACUGCAAGAAGGCCCCCCGUCGCGAUGGCCGCCAUCUUGUGUCACGUGACGGAUGACGUCGUCAUGGCGGCGGACGGAGCAUCUAGCAAAAAAAAGAUGGCGCCGAGUGAAAGCCAUCCGUAAGAACGAUGUUACGCGAAGCUCUGCGCUGAUCCGUAUCACCUGGCGCGCUUGAAUGCCUCUACCGAGCCGCAACUGUCGGCGAUUCCGUGCUGCACCAUCGGCCGGCGCGGUCGGUUGCCUAGUCGUCUCCGGAACCACGGAAACAGCCCAGUUGUGGUAGUAGCAGCGUCGGCGAGUAAUAAAAAUAACAAGCGCCGCUUUGUAUCCCUUUCGGCGUCUACGACAUGGCGGGUCGCGGAGCUAUCAAGUCCCAGCCGGGCUCGGCGGCCUGCUCCUACGAAGGAUUUGACAAGCUGACCAGCAGUACGUUGAAGAGGCACCCAAAGAUGGAACUAAACAAAACUGAACUUCUCAAGCUACUCAGCGUGCUCGAGGGGGAACUCCAGGCUCGAGAAAUUGUGAUCGCCGUACUGAAGGCCGAGCAGGUGAAGCAGCUCCUGUACCCGCGCAAAGCUGGCGCCAACGGGGCAGCGGGCAGCGACCCCUGGGCAGCCCUGCAGCGGGACGUGCUCAACGCCUUCGACAAGCGCUUUGACGUGACCUCGGUGCGAGCUCUACACGGCCUUCAACUGCAUCACUUGGAGCAACUCAUCGCGUUGCACCGGCGGGUACUGGCUCGCAACCGGGAGGAGCUCCGAGCUUUGGAACAGCGCUGUGCAAAGCUGUGCCGAGAGCUGGAAGAAGAGAGAGGAAAGCGGAUGCAAGACACGGCCCAGGGUGACAAUGUGACCUUUCUGCUAGAAAAAGAACGUGAGCACCUCCGCCACGAGGUGGACCUCGAGAGGCAGCAGAGCCGGAGGCUCGAGAAAGAACUCCAGCAGGCAAACGAGGCGCUCGAGAUGGAGCGUACUCGGCAGAAGCAGAUGGUGUUGCUCCUCCUGGGCGAACGGAAGCGGCUCAUUGUUCGGCUAAUCCAGGAACGGCAACGGGGGGACCAGCUUCUGCAGAGCUUAAAGGACGAAAAGGCACGCUCAUCCGAAAUGGUGGAAGGUCUGGAAGAGGAGAGUAAACGAUCGCUCCAGAUGGAGGAGGAGCUCGAGCGGCAAGCAGCAGACUUCGAGCUGGAGAGGGAACGUUUCCAGACGCAGGUGGCAGAACUGAAGGCCCAGAACGCUCAGCAGCAAGCGGAGCUGGAGCGGCUACGGCAAGAGGCCGAACGCCUGGUUCCGCCCCCAGCACCGGCGCCCCUCGGAGAGGGGGUCCGCAGUGCCACCAUCAUCACCCCCGCCAGCGCACCUGCACCCACCGUCAGAGCCGCGGUCCCCACUCCUACCCCACCCCGGGGCGUAGCUGUGGGACCAAAGGUCCCGCCCUCUUCUACCAAGGCCACACCCCCGACAGUGCCACAGGUGCCACCCAAGCCGACUCCCGACCGAACACUGGUCAAGAAGCCGGGAGUGCCGACGGCGCCCGGCACACCCGGCAUAGUGUCGGCGACCGGGACCGUUCUGAGGCCCACCCCGCCUCCUGUUCCGCCCAACAAGCCCGUGCUCCAGCGCAAGGACCUGGGACCGAAACCCCCCGUGCCGCCCCGCACGGUGCCAGACUCAACAACUCAGCAGAAUGCCUGCUCAAUGUUGUUAAAAUGCGAAUGUGCUCGUUGGUGACCGGGUUUUGCACGUGGUAACCAUUCUGUUCUGCUCGAACUGUAGUCAACAGCAAUGUGCACUGCCCUGUUCAAGACAUGCAUUGGGACUUUUAGUGGACUGUCACUCUUCUGUGCAUGGUUCUUGUCGUUCCCUGCAUGCGUUUGAACAAUGGUGACAAGUUCAUCGUGGAAUUGCUCUCGAAAUGGCCCCCGCACUUUUUUUCGAGCGCUGCCUGUCUCGUCUGCACGGGACCUCCGUGGAGUCCUCCUUUGCGAGCAAGCAUGGAUCGACACGGCUUUGCACAUUCUCAAGGGGUGGCGUGCAGAGGUGAUAAAUUGCUGGGACCACGCUUCUCUUUCGCUACGUCCCUUUCUUCCCACCUGUCCGGCAGCUCAGCGCAUACAAAACACAAGUGCAGCAGAGUGAAUGCCUUCGGAAUAGUCUCGCUUGCGGGUUUGGACGCUUCUGGCGGAUGCUUUGUGGCCCCCCCCAUCCUAUCCCCCUCGCUGUUGCUGCUGUUGCCACUCCUUCCGCGCACCUGCAGUCUGGUCAUGUAGUCGUCAACGACGCAGAAGACGAGAGAAGGUAGUGGCACAGACGAGUCUAUCGUGACGAGGGUUCUGGGAGGCCCUGAUUGACGUAAACGGUGUGAAAGGGGCGUCAGUUGUGAGUGUUAGGCUUGGCUGGCAUGGUGUCCCUGACGUAAAUUGCAAAACGGUGACAAUUUUCCAGACUGAGUGGCUUCGAUGAUUCCAGGAGAGCGAUGGAUAAGCGAUAGCUGAGGUGGUAACGUAGAUUUGGAUUCCCGAAGCAGCUCUGUGCGAUGUCACAGCUUCUGGCAACAUCCUGCCUAGCCUAGGAUUGUCAUUUACAUUUUAAAAUGGCACUGUAUCCCCGUGGUUACAGCAGCACCGUAACGGAACACUUCGGACAGUUCUCAGAAGAAUAAAACGCGUUGCUGUUAGUGUCCAUUCAAAACAGAAACCUUUUAUGGCAGGCUUAUGGACUGUGUGGGCUGCAUAGAUCCUCAUUCAUGUAAUGGGUUGCAUGCUGUUUGAAAUGCAAAUGCUUUGUGCAACUGCCUUGGUGAGCUAUUAUAGUUUUGCUGUAUGUGGAGCAUGAUUUCAAUCAUAAUUUGAUGUGCAUUCUCAAGCUUCUACUUUCACGUGAAAAUUCGCAUUAAUUUUGCACGAAUCAAAUAUUGGCUCGCUGAUCGUGAAUAAGGGUAAGACGGAUCUGGGACCUUAUGAGUUCUUGGAGUAAAGUUAGCUGGAUUCGUGAAUAAACCACAGAAGCUGCGACAUCGCACUGUGGCACCUUCAAUGUAGCAGUUUGUACUUAGCAUUGAUCUGAUGUUCUCAUGUAUCUGCUUUCCCACCAAACGAACACACGGAAAACUUCAAACCACAACGCGCCUGUCAAGCUCAAUUCAGUAUUCAACGUAAGCGUCGCUUCAAAAAACACCAUUGGCUGUGGCAGCAUUUUUUCUGCUUACAUGGGUGGCAGGAGAUGCAGCACAUACUUUGAGCCAGCUGAUGCUUCUCGGGGAGUGAAAUGAGAGUUUAGCUAGCCUGUACACCGCGUAAAGUUGUCUAUACAUUUUAGGGUAUGAUUUUGCCAUGCAGCUAUUGUGUCCAGUCACUUGAAAAUUUUUUUUAACAUUGCACAGCCAGUAGUUCGCUUUGAAGAGCACUAAGAGGCACACAAUUGAAACUUGGGCAUGUUGGUAACCAUCCGUGUCAAGGAAGAAAGCUAAACAAAUUUAGAUGGCAGAUGCAUGUGGAGUAAAAUGAGGGUAUGACUGACUUUUAUGCCCUUUAAAGUUGUCUACGCCUUUCAGUGUCUAGCUUUGCCGCACAGCAGUUAUUGCCUUCAGUUGUGCAAAUUUUUUAACAUUGUUCAAGUGGUACUUUGCUUUCAGUAACAGUUAAAUAAACCAGAAUUGCGAGUCGGGCUAGUUUGUUAGCAUUCCUGUCAAGAAAACAGCAAUAUGAUAACGAUACAAGUAGACUGAACAACAGUAGUGAGUAAAUCGGGCCAAGUUGGUCGAUAUUCAUUGUACGCAAGGCAGUGAAGACCACAGGACAAGUGCUGCUGUGCUAUUUUUACAAGCGAUGAACAAGCUCUAGUCGUACUGCUUCUAUCCGCUUAAAUAAUGGCUGCACCUGCUUUAUUUUCUUUUCUGCUAAAGGCUGCUGAUGUGCUCAUAACGUUUGCGCAAGCAUUGGCCAGGCAGUGUUCAAUUAUUAAGGGAAAAAAGAAACGAAAUAUAUAAGUCCAAUGUGGUGGGAGAACUUCACGUCUUGAAGCCGGGUGGUUAACAGAAUACGUAAUUAAGAAAUCUGCAGUGUGAGUAGGAAUGGCAUGGCAUUGUAAGUGCAGACUACAAUUAUUGCAUAACGGUGCACUCGAUUAGCGAGGAAUACGUGCUACACUCUUUAUCGAGUCUCCAGAGCAGGCUGCAGCUUUUCAAACCUUUCUGUCUUUUCAAAAAUUUUUGUUGUUAUGUAGUGCCACAUAAAAAAAAAAGAUUUGUCUUCGCGCAGUAGUCACCGUUAGACAAGGAAGGCGCAUGUAGACGCUGUAACCUCUUGUGGGGUGUCUACGUACAGUUCAUAUUGAGCAUUGUCCAAACCAUUACUUACCAAUACUCCCUCGUAGACGACUCGUGCAGCGCACGUCUAGAUUCACUGCAGGCACACCUUUCGCGCUGCGUACGUCUAGAUUCAUUGGAGAGCACGAUUUUUCGAGUCGCGUGUUGUGCAUUGGUGGUUUGUCGCCACGGCCAACACCUUCAGUCAUGCAGCUGCUCUUCGACCACCACAUUUUGUAAGUGUGUUUUUUCAAAGCUCGUCUGUAGUGAGUUGCGUGAAUUUCGUGCCGCGUGCAUUUGUAAGUGUAUAGCGAGAGUAUUUCUAGAGGAAAUUAGAAAAAAAAAAAUGAACUUAGUACGUUCUGCAGCUGUCAAAGAAAGGGCUCGUUCGAGUGCACGGAGGGCCCCUCUGGACAAAUGGCAACCUGUGGCAGCUUUCGCGUGAGGAACGAAGAUUAGCUGCACGAUGUUGGAUUUUACUUCACUAAGACCUAGACGAGAGUAGGUUGAGCUUGUGUGGUGUUGUGGAGGGCAGCACUUGAAUGACGAGUCAUCAUAGUGCCGCUUUACCUUAUGCUAUUGUGCUGUAACUGUUUGUGUGUAAUAUACAUGAAGUGAGAGUGUAACACCACUGUUUGCUAGGAUACCCCGACUGUCUUGUUGAAAAGAGAGUUUGCUUUAUUGUACAUACACCAGCCUAAUGCAGUGAUGGGAGUUCUCUGUUGGAAGACGUUUGUAUUCUGAAAGUGUACCGCUGAUGUGAAUGUGCGGUCGGCGCUGGCUUUGCUAUGGCGUCACGUUAGCUCUCAGUAUGAGCGAAUUCAAAUUUUUUCUUGUGUUAUGAAAGACUUGAAGUGAGCACUCGAACAGACAAUUUCUUUUACAGGCCCUGCUUGUUUUGUUUAAACAGAUUUUUUGGUGCACUUGCAUUGCUUGACAGGUUUUAGCAGAAGAAAAAAAAAAGCGAUUUCACUUUCGAACAACCUCAACUUUGUGCAUUUUUCAGUGACACUGUAUGCUUACUAGAACAUAUCCGUGAUGCGGCAUCUACGCGUGAGCCUGCAUUUUUACUGUACAGGAUAUCACUGUGCUGGUUGUUCAGUGGUGUUUCACUGUUGAGGCCUAGUCGAAUCAAAGUGACGAACAGCACAUGGCAUUGUGAGGCUGUUGCCAUGCGAGUUUGCCAGUCAGAAGCGCCUACCAAAUGGAACAUCGCACUUUGGGGUCCCUCUAAGCACCUUCAUUCGUGCUAAUUGUGUUAUCUAACUUAUUUAACGAGGCAUCGCCUCUUUGCUGCACACCCGCCAUUUAAUGCAAUUAACUACAUUGUGUGAUUGUGCGUUCUACAGGUACUGUUGCCAGCAGAGUUAUUUAGGAACACCUAAGUGUAUUGUGUGUGCGUUUGUGCAGAAUGUAUCCUGGGUGCACGUGAAGGGCACAAGCCUGUCUUUUUAGUGUUUCUCUUUAUGCUGAGAGGUAAAAGGCCAUCGCAGUGGAAGUAACACAGGCAUGCCAUACACUUCGAGUUCACGCACCGCAUCGUCGCGCUACCUUAAUUCUUGCCAGCUUUAUAGCUAUGCACUUCGCGAGUGUCGUCGAAGCACACUAGUUGAUGGGAAUCGUUGCACCUAGUUUAAGACAGAGGUCCAGCUAAACAGACCUUGUCGUGGCUUGGAGGAAAUGUCGUCAAGCGUUCUGCAAAUGGUGCGAACGCUUGUUCCAGGCACGUUUUUCUCGCGUUUCGCGCAGCAAAAAUGCGCUUAGUGGGAGGAAAGUAUCUGCAGCUGUACCGUGUACUUAAAACAGUGCCAAAGUUUGCACUCGGCACUACUCGUCGUCCCCAAAAGCGUGAUGUCCGCUGUAGGACUUUGCACACCUCACUGCACCCGCAUUUUCCCGGAAGCUUGUGUGGCUGGAAAGUCUUCCAACUUAGACCUCUGUAGCAGGAGACAGCGCGACGAUUCUCUCGCGUCACCGGAGCCUCGGGUUCCGACGUUCGGCCGCAUCCCGUCUCCGCGUGUUGUUCCGUUUGAUCGCGAAUGAUCCCAUUACAAAAUGCGCCGCUGUGAUGAGUAUGUGAACGUUCAUUUUCGUUCGUAUCGAAUUUUUCUUGCUUAGAAACCGAGGCGUGCGGCACACGUAUCUUGUCAGAUCGAUGGCCCUAGAUCCCAAGUUCGUAGUUGGCUUUUAUCGUAAACAUGUGGCUGCUUAGUUAGAAGAACAGAUAGGCAUGACAUAAAGAACAAGCUCCUGUGUAGCUACGCAGUGCAAUGCACUAACGCACAGGAUUUCAACUAGCCCAACCAAUGGAUUGCUUAACUUUAGUGUCUUCUGUUGUCUCGCAAACAAGCACACUCAGUAGUUAACAGCUAGUACUACCGAAUGCAGUUACAUGUUUGAUAUCUGAAGUUUCAGAUGGAAGCUUUCAGAUGCCCCACAAGUUGGUUUGGGUCUGUGCAGACAUGUUGACGCAUUAUCGAUUCAUAGCGGCAGCUCAUCGUAAUGGUUGAGUGCAGCUUUUUUUUUUUUUUUUAGUUGCACAUCCAGCAGUCUCCUCAGUGAACACACUUCAAAAUGUUGCUAGUCAGCUCCUGUUGUGGGCACAAGCAUGUUUCAUGUCUUAUCGUCUUAAAUCAGUUCAGCCAUCUUAAACUAGCGCAGAGUUGUACGUUGAGAAGUCACCCGAUGUACCUUGGUUAGCUGCAGUUGAAACAAAUUCUCACAAGUCUGUUGCGCGGCAACAGCUCAGUGUGAUUAUAAAGUGGUACUGAACAGCCAUGUCAGUGAGACGAAUCAUGAAGCGCACUACGUCAAGAGCCAGCACAGUAGGCAGCUGCAAACAGAGUAGACAUAGGGCCGCUGUUAAUUGCGAGUGCUGCACAUAAUAUUUGAUGUAUUGAUUUUCGUCGUAUGCGACCCUUGACAUCCAAAUUCAGCCAUAUUUAUGUGAGCAUUCUGGCAGCGUUUAGACCAUAUCAUGCUCACAUGACCGUAGAACUAAUUUACGGUUACUUCAGGCAUCGUAACUUGGCAGAAGCUGUUAGACAUCGACGAAUUCUAGGCUAAUACAGAUUCUGAGGUUGCGUGAUUAAAAGAUGCUGUGAGUGUAUAUAAUCAGAAGAGAAUAUCAUCAUGCUACAUCAAGUGCUGAAUAGUGUAUCUGUACUAAGUUUAAAAAGAUAAAAACACUUAAUUUUUGCAGUGUCAGUGCACUUCCAAACACUGCUCGGGGGUGACAUCGGAAACGUAGAGUCGGUGGUGUCCUGAGUCACACAUAUAAGAACGUUAGACAAGUGUAUGUGCUUUUCAUUUUGCCACUGAUGUGUGAGCUUUGUGGGCAUUUGCCAUGUGGAAAUAAAUGCCUGAAUUAUUUACUACCACACAUUGCAUCACCUGCACUUAAGCGACGUGUGUAAUAAUUGAAAACUCAACGGUCAAAGUUCUUUUUCGUGUUCUUGUCUGAUGGCCCAGGGCCACUUUCCCAGUGCUUUGUGAAUAUGCAUUUGCAAAUGUGUUUUUGUUUUUCUUUCUACGAGUCAUUUGCGGGCUUUGUAAAACGAAACGUGAUUUGCUUGUCAUUACAAGAAAAGGCAGCUCUGAAGCGUCUUCUUGUACAGAGCUUUUUAAACAAACGUAAAGAGUGUGUGUUGCUGAUGAUUGUACACUGCAUCACUAUUUUUGUUUUGGAAGUUGCUUUUGUUUUGCUAGUUUUAACGCGCUCAAUUGGCGCGCGCUGGCCGCCAUUUCCGAAGUCUGCUGAAGAUGGACCUGUGCCAUAUCACCGAGCGCCACGCUCUCAAGAGUCCGUUAUUGCAUUUCUUUUGGUUUGCAAGUUGAAGAUAGCAAUAAAAAAAAUGAUGUAAAAUAUCCCUA